GGUUGUAUGGAGUAGUUGGUUAACUUAGGAGAUUCUGAUUGAGCGCCUUCAUAGGCGUCGGUUCGAUUCGACUUCUCUUGCCCUGGGUUCGAAUCCCAGUACGACCU
rnacentral:tRNA from 1 species